UGGGACACAGCCGGUUUCUCCACCUGAAGCUCCACGCGUUCAGCACGCGGACAGUAACACAAACACCGCGUAUAAAACGAUAAAACAAUACAAAAGAGAGAAAAGAGGGAAAACUGCUGUUCUGAGUCUUUGUUAAGGUCACCCCUGCAGAAACCACGGUACUAUAAGAUUAACAGGACAAAAAUCACAAGGUUACCAAAUGAUGAAGAGCACUCACUGAAGCUGAGGGUUUGAGCACAUCGGACCCAAAUUCGCCACCAUCUCUCAAACCGGGACUACGAGAGAGGAGUUUCUGGAUGGAAACUGAAAGUCUGCAGUGAUGAGGUUAGUGUCUGUGUUGACACGGACCAUUCCAGCAUUCCCAGCACACAAGAGCAAACAUGUUUAAGGGCAGAAGGUGAUCUCUCGCUCACGUCCUUCCACGCCGAACAAGGCCAAGCGAAGCCAAAACGAAGCCUUUAACUUCCCGCUCUCGCUUCCAUACCUGAAUAGAGAUGUGUUUUUAAUUGGGUUGUAAUGACGAGGACUUGGAAGCGGGUCAGAGAAGCUAAGUUGGAGCACAUGCCUUCUGAAACGGCUCAUUGAGCAGGCGGGAAGAUUCCAAGAUUGAAGAGAAGAUUCCCUUGAAAUGGAGUUGGUUGCGUUUCAAAGGAAUUCCAAUCGCCCAUCUGCUCGAUCGUCUAUUUAUCUUUUUCCUUUUCUCUCCAAAUGCAUUUACAGUCGCUUCGAAACGAAGGCGUGCGCCGUAAAUCUUAAAGUAAAGUAGCCUGAGGAGAAACAAGUUAAUGUGGGGAUGUCAGUGCACUGAAAAAUCAGCUUAAACAUCUGGUAAACUACCCGGUAAUCACCCAAGCACACUCCGAGCGAAGAGAAUGGCAACACUUUUUAAAUGUAAAACUAAAAAAAAAAUAAUAAAA